GUGCUCUCUCGUGUUACGUAUACUGAAGGUAUACCGGAUAGGAUACACUCAGGAUACAUUCAGUAUACGUUUACGAGGUCGCAC
rnacentral:pre_miRNA from 15 species